UACGAAGGGGGGCUAGCGUUGCUCGGAAUUACUGGGCGUAAAGCGCACGUAGGCGGUCUUUUAAGUCGGGGGUGAAAUCCUGGAGCUCAACUCCAGAACUGCCUUCGAUACUGGAAGACUUGAGUCCGGGAGAGGUGAGUGGAACUGCGAGUGUAGAGGUGAAAUUCGUAGAUAUUCGCAAGAACACCAGUGGCGAAGGCGGCUCACUGGCCCGGUACUGACGCUGAGGUGCGAAAGCGUGGGGAGCAAACAGG
rnacentral:rRNA from 1 species